UAACACGUAAAGAACCUGCCUCAUAGACUGGGACAACUAUUGGAAACGAUAGCUAAUACCGGAUAACAGCAUUAACUGCAUGGUUGAUGUUUAAAAGUUGGUUUUGCUAACACUAUGAGAUGGCUUUACGGUGCAUUAGCUAGUUGGUGGGGUAAAGGCCUACCAAGGCGACGAUGCAUAGCCGACCUGAGAGGGUGAUCGGCCACACUGGGACUGAGACACGGCCCAG
rnacentral:rRNA from 1 species